AGGAAGAAAGCCGUCCCUGCUUUCCGUCUUGGCCUCCGCCGGCGACUCUGCCCAAAAACGACAUUUCUCACUUCAGCAGGUUUUAGCAAGGACGAAGAUUUCGAUUCCCAGCGUGAGUUGUGACUUCACUCUUGAUCUUGAGGUUUGAGAAAUCUGAGCUACUUAUAUCUUCUUAAGAAUGUAUUUGGACUUCAUUACUUCGUUUUGUGGCUUGUAAUGUAUUUGAAUUAAACGAUAUAGUUUUGUUUUGGGUUGCCACUUGAACCUGAAAAAUGUGUAAACCCUAAUUCUGUCAUUUGGCUGGUAUGUAUAUAUUCGGUCUGUGUGAAAUUAUAUGUAUUUGGGAUGGUAUGGCUUUAAUCCUUGUAAUUAACGCGUGAA